rnacentral:lncRNA from 1 species
GCCAUUGUUACAAGUGCAUUUCCAUGUCUGCGGAGAGGAUCAUAUCUGAAACAGUUUGUCUAUUAUUUUGAAGAACUAGAGGAUUUCUAAGACAAUUGGUGCCAGUAUUAGAGAGUCUGAAAAGUGAAGAAAGGAAAGAAAAUCCAUGAUAAUUCAUCAUAUAUCAUAAGACAUCAGCAUCUGGACAUAAGAACCAUGCCAGUCACUGUGACUCUAAACACAGAGAGAAGAAGUCCUCUUCGAGCCCCACCAGUUUACAGAAGUCUAUCAAUCUCUCUGUCCAUCUUCCGGAUCAUUAUUCAAGUUACUAUCCCCAAUUUUGCUGGGUACAUAAGAUCAAGCCACACUCCGUAGAUCAUUUUUCCUCCUUGUGGAUUAGGAAUUUGUUCUCUUUAUAUUAUCUCUGAGAGAAUAUGCUGCUUAGAAAAAGUAGUAGGAAUGUCAACAUCACCUGUGUUUGCCUUGUGUAUGUGUUUAUAUAUCUACCUCUCCACCCUUGUACUGUGAUUGCCUUACAAGAAGUUAAAACUAUGUCUGAAAACAGUAGCAAAAAUCCUUUGUAAUGUCAUGCUUUCCUUGUUUCUAUUGACACAUAUUAUCUUGGCUCUCUCAAGGACCUGUAUGUUUUUCAAGGUCAGGAAAGACAAUUUGAAAGAGUCCCCUAUUGAUGUAAAAAAUUAUUCAGAUGUUAAGUCAUUUCAUCAGGAAUGACCAAUAGGCUGGGGAAUUUGCAUGGAUGUUUACCGAAUUCAAUCUGCAAAACAGAAAAAUAUACUGAAUAAAAGCUAAAAUGGCUAUUGCCUAUAUUUUGCAAAAG